CUGUGUGUGUGUGUGUGUGUGUGUGUGUGUGUGUGUGUGUGUGUGUGUGGGUGUGUGUGUGUGUGUGUGUGUGUGUGUGUGUGUGUGUGUGUGUGUGUGUGUGUCAGUGCUUCAGGGUGUGUGUGUGUGUGGGGGGGUGUGCGUGUGUGUGUAUGCAUGUGCGCGAGUGUGUGUUUGGCUCUGCUUGCGUCAGAAUUUGCUAAUGUGCGGUUUCUGUCCACACUGCAAUCAGGAGCAAGCCACCAUGUGUCUCCACAUGUUUUUGUACAUGGGAGGUGUGUCGUUGUGUGUGCAUGUGUGAGUAUGUGUGUUGUAUGUGUGUGCGCAGCAUGUACAUUUCUUCGGGUUUCUGUUCGGGUGUGUGUGUCUGUGUGUAUUAUGAUGUAUAUUUCACCACACAGCAAGGUUUUCUGCUACUACAGGGGACAGGCACUGAAUAAUUAAGAAUGGUAGGAAAGAGUGAAAGUUAAGAGGAAGAGGAGGAAGACAAGCUGAGAGAGGCAGAGAAGAGAAAACCACACAGUGAGGCAAAAGAAAACAUUGUCAAACUAAAAAAAGACCCAACCUAAUAUAAUGAAUGUUUUGUUUUAAUCAAAUGUUUAUGCAACUAGGAUUUGGACAUAGAGUGAAUGUAAUCAAAUGAAGAUUGAACAUUUGGCUGGCUUUCAACAGGUCCUCAUAAUAUCCGAGGCCUCGUUCAGCUCAGUGUUGCAUCACAUUUGGCCUUGCGUGUUUGUUUCUUCAUUCAGAGGUGCAUUGUACAUGUGGUUCAAUGUCAUCUAAUGAUCUUGGAAGAUAUCCAUCAAGGGACCCUUUGCACUCUGUUAUUGAGUCUGUUGACACCUCAUUUUGUUUCUCAUAGUCAUAAACACAAAGGACAAUGGACACAAAGGAGAACAUUUCAGAGUCAAAACGUAUGUUUAAGGACUGCGUGUGCUCGCUUUGUUAUGCGGAGAGUAUUAGCUACAGGUGUGUCCGCGGCUCUGGGUCAGAUUAUCAGGUCUCUAGGUCUCUCUGUAUCUCUCUUUCCCUCAAAGUCUCCCUGUAUCUUUUUGGCUGUGUAUCUGUAUUUCUAUCUCCCUCUACGUCUCUCUGCACCUCGGCUGUCUC
ensembl:lncRNA